rnacentral:pre_miRNA from 1 species
CGGGGGAGGCCGGGUCCUAGGCUGUGUCCCGGCGCCCUGUGCUCCGGAGCCUGCACUGUUGGAUUCGCAAUCCUGGCCGCGCAGCCCCCU